UACGUAGGGUGCAAGCGUUGUCCGGAAUUAUUGGGCGUAAAGAGCUCGUAGGCGGUCUGUCGCGUCGGCUGUGAAAACCCGGGGCUCAACCCCGGGCCUGCAGUCGAUACGGGCAGACUAGAGUGUGGUAGGGGAGACUGGAAUUCCUGGUGUAGCGGUGAAAUGCGCAGAUAUCAGGAGGAACACCGGUGGCGAAGGCGGGUCUCUGGGCCGAUACUGACGCUGAGGAGCGAAAGCGUGGGAGCGAACAGG
rnacentral:rRNA from 1 species